rnacentral:tRNA from 1 species
GGGGAUAUGGUGUAAUGGUAGCAUAACAGACUUUGACUCUGCUGGUGAAGUUUCGAGUACUUCUGUCCCUGCCA